AGUUUUAUGUUUGGGCAGUGUUUAGUUUUGUGUAUAAUUAAGUAGCGCGAAAUUUUAUGUUCGUGGUAGUGUUUUGUUUCAAACACGUUUUCAAAGUGCACCUAUGUAAAAGUGUAAGUAUACUAUACCAAUAGUUUUUAAUAAGGAGUGGCAAUUUUUUGGUAAGAACAAUUUACUUUUGACAAGCAAGUUACAUCUUGAAAUGUUAUCCACCUAGAUAAUGCCAUCGUUUCG